rnacentral:tRNA from 1 species
GGUUUUGUACUUUAUUUUAGAAGAUCUGGUUUGCAACUAGAAAGAAGAUUAAUUUUAGAUCUCUAAACCA